rnacentral:rRNA from 1 species
UACGUAGGAUGCAAGCGUUGUCCGGAUUUACUGGGCGUAAAGCGCGCGCAGGCGGCUUGAUAAGUAUGGCGUGAAAUCUCCCUGCUCAACGGGGAGGGUGCGUUGUAGACUGUCGAGCUUGAGGUCGGUAGAGGGGGGUGGAAUUGCUGGUGUAGCGGUGAAAUGCGUAGAGAUCAGCAGGAACACCCGUGGCGAAGGCGGCCCCCUGGGCCGUACCUGACGCUGAGGCGCGAAGGCUAGGGGAGCGACCCGG